UAGAAUAUCUACAAGAUUAUCGCGGAGGA
rnacentral:piRNA from 1 species